rnacentral:rRNA from 1 species
UACGUAGGGGGCUAGCGUUGUCCGGAAUCAUUGGGCGUAAAGAGCGUGUAGGCGGCCCGGUAAGUCCGCUGUGAAAGUCGGGGGCUCAACCCUCGAAUGCCGGUGGAUACUGUCGGGCUAGAGUGCGGAAGAGGCGAGUGGAAUUCCCAGUGUAGAGGUGAAAUUCGUAGAUAUUGGGAAGAACACCGGUGGCGAAGGCGGCUAUCUGGCCCGUAAUUGACGCUGAGGCGCGAAAGCGUGGGGAGCAAACAGG